GUGUUUUAUUAGUGAAAAUCAAACAUUCGGUUACACAUUGCGUUUUUAUGAAAGUGGGUAGGCCACGGGGGCCACCUCUGGUGUGGACAGGGGUAAGAGGAUGUCUUGGGAGCCGGCACUUACGGGCAAGCCUGGCCAAACCCCCAAGGAUGUUUGUUUCAAUAAUGAUCCUUCCGCAGGUUCACCUACGGAGA
rnacentral:misc_RNA from 1 species